rnacentral:rRNA from 1 species
GACGUAGGGCGCGAGCGUUGUCCGGAUUUAUUGGGCGUAAAGAGCUCGUAGGCGGUUUGUCGCGUCGUCUGUGAAAACCCACGGCUCAACUGUGGGCUUGCAGUCGAUACGGGCAGGCUAGAGUUCGGUAGGGGAGACUGGAAUUCCUGGUGUAGCGGCGAAAUGCGCAGAUAUCAGGAGGAACACCGGUGGCGAAGGCGGGUCUCUGGGCCGAUACUGACGCUGAGGAGCGAAAGCGUGGGGAGCGAACCGG